rnacentral:miRNA from 1 species
ACUCUAAGUCAGAAUACCAAGCC